rnacentral:rRNA from 1 species
ACGAACGCUGGCGGCGUGCUUAACACAUGCAAGUCGAACGGAAAGGCUCCAGCUUGCUGGAGUGCUCGAGUGGCGAACGGGUGAGUAACACGUGGGCAAUCUGCCCUGCACUCUGGGAUAAGCCUGGGAAACUGGGUCUAAUACCGGAUAGGACCUUUCUCCUCAUGGGGUUUGGUGGAAAGUUUUUCGGUGCAGGAUGAGCCCGCGGCCUAUCAGCUUGUUGGUGGGGUAAUGGCCUACCAAGGCGACGACGGGUAGCCGGCCUGAGAGGGUGAUCGGCCACAUUGGGACUGAGAUACGGCCCAGACUCCUACGGGAGGCAGCAGUGGGGAAUAUUGCACAAUGGGCGAAAGCCUGAUGCAGCGACGCCGCGUGAGGGAUGACGGCCUUCGGGUUGUAAACCUCCUUCAGUAGGGACGAAGCGCAAGUGACGGUACCUGCAGAAGAAGCACCGGCGAACUACGU